rnacentral:rRNA from 1 species
UGGGGAAUUUUGGACAAUGGGCGAAAGCCUGAUCCAGCAAUGCCGCGUGUGUGAAGAAGGCCUUCGGGUUGUAAAGCACUUUUGUCCGGAAAGAAAUCCUUGGCUCUAAUACAGUCGGGGGAUGACGGUACCGGAAGAAUAAGCACCGGCUAACUACGUGCCAGCAGCCGCGGUAAUACGUAGGGUGCAAGCGUUAAUCGGAAUUACUGGGCGUAAAGCGUGCGCAGGCGGUUUGCUAAGACCGAUGUGAAAUCCCCGGGCUCAACCUGGGAACUGCAUUGGUGACUGGCAGGCUAGAGUAUGGCAGAGGGGGGUAGAAUUCCACGUGUAGCAGUGAAAUGCGUAGAGAUGUGGAGGAAUACCGAUGGCGAAGGCAGCCCCCUGGGCCAAUACUGACGCUCAUGCACGAAAGCGUGGGGAGCAAACAGGAUUAGAUACCCUGGUAGUCCACGCCCUAAACGAUGUCAACUAGUUGUUGGGGAUUCAUUUCCUUAGUAACGUAGCUAACGCGUGAAGUUGACCGCCUGGGGAGUACGGUCGCAAGAUUAAAACUCAAAGGAAUUGACGGGGUCAUAGC